rnacentral:snRNA from 1 species
AUCUUUGCGUUUGGGGCAAUGACGCAGUUUGUGAGGUGAAACCGAGACGCGUCAAUUGCUGGUUGAAAACUAUAGGAGGCUUUUAUCCUCAUUCGCAGAAGACAUGUCGAAUGCAACAAAACCUGAAUUUUUACGCAAAUUGUGAUU